rnacentral:misc_RNA from 1 species
UGUGGGAGCGAGCCUGCUCGCGAUGCGGUCUGCCAGAGACAAAAAUGUUGAUUGUCUCACCGCUAUCGCGAGCAGGCUCGCUCCCACA